AGAGUUUGAUCCUGGCUCAGGAUGAACGCUAGCGGCAGGCCUAAUACAUGCAAGUCGAACGGUAACAUUGGUGCUUGCACCAGAUGACGAGUGGCGCACGGGUGCGUAACGCGUAUGCAACCUACCUUUUACUAGAGUAUAGCCCAGAGAAAUUUGGAUUAAUCCUCUAUAACAUCUUUAAGUUUCAUAAUUUUUAGAUUAAAGUUUUAAUGGUAAAAGAUGGGCAUGCGUCCUAUUAGUUUGUAGGUGAGGUAACGGCUCACCUAGACUACGAUAGGUAGGGGCCCUGAGAGGGGGAUCCCCCACACUGGUACUGAGACACGGACCAGACUCCUACGGGAGGCAGCAGUAAGGAAUAUUGGACAAUGGACGAAAGUCUGAUCCAGCCAUGCCGCGUGCAGGAUGAAAGCCCUAUGGGUUGUAAACUGCUUUUAUACAGGAAGAAGUAAGAAUAAGGAUCGGCUAACUCCGUGCCAGCAGCCGCGGUAAUACGGAGGAUCCAAGCGUUAUCCGGAAUCAUUGGGUUUAAAGGGUCCGCAGGCGGUCUUUUAAGUCAGAGGUGAAAGCCUACAGCUCAACUGUAGAACGGCCUUUGAUACUGAAAGACUUGAGUUAUUGUGAAGUGAUUAGAAUGUGUGGUGUAGCGGUGAAAUGCAUAGAUAUCACACAGAAUACCGAUUGCGAAGGCAGAUCACUAACAAUAUACUGACGCUCAUGGACGAAAGCGUGGGGAGCGAACAGGAUUAGAUACCCUGGUAGUCCACGCCGUAAACGAUGGAUACUAGCUGUUCGUCUAACAUUGGUUAGAUGAGUGGCUAAGCGAAAGUGAUAAGUAUCCCACCUGGGGAGUACGGUCGCAAGACUGAAACUCAAAGGAAUUGACGGGGGCCCGCACAAGCGGUGGAGCAUGUGGUUUAAUUCGAUGAUACGCGAGGAACCUUACCAGGGCUUAAANNNNNNNNUACAAGGUGCUGCAUGGUUGUCGUCAGCUCGUGCCGUGAGGUGUCAGGUUAAGUCCUAUAACGAGCGCAACCCCUAUCGUUAGUUGCCAGCGAGUAAUGUCGGGAACUCUAACGAAACUGCCAGUGCAAACUGUGAGGAAGGUGGGGAUGACGUCAAAUCAUCACGGCCCUUACGUCCUGGGCUACACACGUGCUACAAUGGCCGGUACAGAGAGCAGCCACUUCGCAAGAAGGAGCGAAUCUAUUAAAACCGGUCUGAAGCUGGAAUCGCUAGUAAUCGGAUAUCAGCAAUGAUCCGGUGAAUACGUUCCCGGGCCUUGUACACACCGCCCGUCAAGCCAUGGAAGCUGGGAGUGCCUGAAGUCGGUAACCGCAAGGAGCCGCCUAAGGUAAAACUGGUAACUGGGGCUAAGUCGUAACAAGGUAGCCGUACCGGAAGGUGCGGCUG
rnacentral:rRNA from 1 species